rfam:Trichuris trichiura, WGS project CBXK01000000 data, contig: TTRE_1002
CAAACGGCCCUUUUCAGGGCCACUAAAUUGAACGCAACAGAAUGUG